UACGUAGGGUGCAAGCGUUUGUCCGGAAUUAUUGGGCGUAAAGAGCUCGUAGGCGGUCUGUUGCGUCGGCUGUGAAAACCCGGGGCUCAACUCCGGGCCUGCAGCCGAUACGGGCAGACUAGAGUUCGGCAGGGGAGACUGGAAUUCCUGGUGUAGCGGUGAAAUGCGCAGAUAUCAGGAGGAACACCGGUGGCGAAGGCGGGUCUCUGGGCCGAUACUGACGCUGAGGAGCGAAGCGUGGGGAGCGAACAGG
rnacentral:rRNA from 1 species